rnacentral:rRNA from 1 species
UACGUAGGGUGCAAGCGUUAAUCGGAAUUACUGGGCGUAAAGGGCUCGUAGGCGGCCAACUAAGUCGGAUGUGAAAUCCCCAGGCUUAACCUGGGAACUGCAUCCGAUACUGGAUGGCUUGAAUCCGGGAGAGGGAUGCAGAAUUCCAGGUGUAGCGGUGAAAUGCGUAGAUAUCUGGAGGAAUACCGGUGGCGAAGGCGGCAUCCUGGACCGGCAUUGACGCUGAGGAGCGAAAGCCAGGGGAGCAAACAGG